UCAAACUGCCAUGGAAUUUCCGAUAGAUAGAAUUGUUGUAAGGGGUUCUUUUAUUGGGUAUCAAGUGACCACCGGUCUACAGGAUGAACUUCUGAUGUGUCAAGAGCAGAGAACUGAACCGCAUUAUCAACAUACUGCGGAUGCACCUUUUAGACCAAGAAGGAAUACUAAGAAAACGGAUUGUGGUGUUGGACAGGUGGACACAAAAGUUUGAUAGAGAAGGACCAAGAUGAUCGAAUCUACCUUAAAGUAUUGCGAACCAUGGAGUAAGAUCUGCAAAUGUAGCCAAGACUGACAGAUUUUACAUCAAUCAUGUGAAUGGUACACGGAUAAUAGAGUUAAGCACGGAUAAUAGAGGUAAACCACGGUUAAUAGAGGUCCAAAACCAAAAGAACAGCAUGCCGGUUAAAAGGGGUAACCUGUUAAUAGGGGAUCAACUGUAUAACGUAAUAAUCCUGCAAAAUUAUUACAGCUCAUCAACAUUCAACAAUUCCAACUAUCAACACUAACCUCUCACUUUAUAAUUGAAGAAUUACAAACGUGUAUCUAUCGACAACAUCUACAUCUAGUAUGUCAACCUAAUUGCAAACACCAAGUUUAAAAAAAAAAACUCAUCAUAUGAUCAAACUACAAUAAUAACGGAUCAACUUUUCA